rnacentral:ncRNA from 1 species
AUAAAAUAAUUAUGUUUUUAAUAAUUUAUUAUAAAUUUAUUUUACAUAUAAAUUUUAGUAUAUAAUUUUAAUUAUUUAAAUAAUAAUUAAUUUAAUUUAUUAAUAGUAAUUAAUAUUAAAAAUUUAAGAAAUUAAGAUUUAGUAAUAUAAAAAUUAAUAACUAAUUUUGUGCCAGCAGUUGCGGUUAAACAAAGAUUAAAUUAAAUUAUUUCAGUUUAUAAUAAAUAAAUUUAUUAUUAAAAUAAAUAUUAAAUUAUUAAGUGAAAUUUUAAUUUAAUUAAAUUUUAUAUUAAAAUUAUGAUUUAAUAAAUUUUAAUAUAAACUAGGAUUAGAUACCCUAUUAUUAAAAAUUUAAUUUAUAAUACUAAAAUAGUAAAUAAUAAUUUAUUGAAACUUAAAUAAUAUGGCGGUAUUUUAGUUCAUUUAGAGGAAUCUGUCUAAUAAUUGAUAAUCCACGAAUAAAUUUACUUAAUUUAUAAUUUUGUAUAUCAUUGUUAAAUAAAUAUUUUUUAGUAAAAAUAAUAUUUAAAAUUUAAAAUUAAAAGUUAAAUCAGAUCAAGAUGCAGAAUAUAAUUAAGAAUAUGAUGGAUUACAAUAAAUAUAUUUAAAUGAAUAAUUUUAUUGUAAUAUAAAUUUGAAGGUGGAUUUAAAUGUAAUUUUAAUUAAUUUAUUAAAAUGAUUAUAAAUUAAAAUAUGUACAUAUUGCCCGUCACUUUCAUUUAAAAGUUGAAAUAAGUCGUAACAAAGUAGAGGUACUGGAAAGUGUUUCUAGAAAGA